CAGCCGCCGGGGAAUACGAAGGGGGCUAGCGUUGCUCGGAAUGACUGGGCGUAAAGGGCGCGUAGGCGGCGAUCAAAGUCAGGCGUGAAAUUCCUGGGCUCAACCUGGGGGCUGCGUUUGAUACUUGGUUGCUAGAGUGAGGAAGAGGGUCGUGGAAUUCCCAGUGUAGAGGUGAAAUUCGUAGAUAUUGGGAAGAACACCGGUGGCGAAGGCGGCGACCUGGUCCUUGACUGACGCUGAGGCGCGAAAGCGUGGGGAGCAAACAGGAUUAGAUACCCCUGUAGUCCCUGUCUCUUAUACA
rnacentral:rRNA from 1 species